rnacentral:rRNA from 1 species
AACGAACGCUGGCGGCGCGCCUAAUACAUGCAAGUCGAGCGAGAAAGUGUAGCAAUACACUUGUAAAGCGGCGAACGGGUGAGGAAUACAUGGGUAAUCUACCAUCGAGUGGGGAAUAACCAACCGAAAGGUUGGCUAAUACCGCGUACGCCUCCGAGUCUUCGGGUUCGGAGGGAAAGCUGCACUGUGAGUGUAGCGCUCUUUGAUGAGCUCAUGUCCUAUCAGCUUGUUGGUAGGGUAAUGGCCUACCAAGGCUUUGACGGGUAGCUGGUCUGAGAGGACGAUCAGCCACACUGGCACUGCGACACGGGCCAGACUCCUACGGGAGGCAGCAGUAAGGAAUAUUGCGCAAUGGGCGAAAGCGCGACGCAGCGACGCCGCGUGGGGGAUGAAGGUCUUCGGAUUGUAAACCCCUUUCGGGAGGGAAGAUGGAGCGAGCAAUCGUUCGGACGGUACCUCCAGAAGCAGCCACGGCCAACUUCGUGCCAGCAGCCGCGGUAAUACGAAGGUGGCAAGCGUUGUUCGGAUUCACUGGGCGUACAGGGUGUGUAGGCGGUUUGGUAAGCCUUCUGUUAAAGCUUCGGGCCCAACCCGGAAAGCGCAGAGGGUACUGCCAGGCUAGAGGGUGGGAGAGGAGCGCGGAAUUCCCGGUGUAGCGGUGAAAUGCGUAGAGAUCGGGAGGGAAGGCCGGUGGCGAAGCGGCGCUCUGGAACAUACCUGACGCUGAGACACGAAAGCGUGGGGAGC